rnacentral:rRNA from 1 species
CCUACGGGUGGCAGCAGUGAGGAAUCUUGCUCAAUGGUCGGGAGACUGACGCAGCGACGCCGCGUGAGUGAUGAAGGAUCUCGGAAUGUAAAGCUCUAUCAGUAGGGAAGAAAAUGUCUGUAACUGACUAAGAAGACCCGGCUAACUACGUGCCAGCAGCCGAGGUAAUACGUAGGGGGCAAGCGUUAUCCGGAUUUACUGGGUGGAAAGGGAGCGUAGACGGGUAUGCAAGACCGGAGUGAAAGCCCAUGGCUUAACCAUGGAACUGAUCUGGAAACUGUGACGCUGGAGUGCAGGAGAGGAAAGCGGAAUUCCUGGUGUAGCGGUGAAAUGCGUAGAGAUUAGGAGGAACACCAGUGGCGAAGGCGACCUGCUGGACCGUAACUGACGUUGAUGCUCGAAAGCGUGGGGAGCAAACAGGAUUAGAUACCCGUGUAGUC